AUGGCGGUUAUGGGGCGAGAGGGCGACGACGACGUCGACCACUACGAGGUGCUCCGCCUCCCGUCCGGCGAGGAAGGCGCGGCGCUGAGCGUCGAGCGGAUCGACAAGGCCUACCGGACGCAGUCGCGGCUCCGGCACCCCGACAAGCGCCCCGACGACCCCAACGCCACGGCCGACUUCCAGAGCCUCACCAGCUCGUACAAGUUCCGCGACGAGUCCCUCCGCCGCCAGUUCGACGCCCGCCUCCGCAGCCGCCGCGAGGCCGCCGCCCGCGCCAAGGCGAGAGGGCUCAAGCGGCGGAAGGCCGUCUCAGACCUAGAGGAGCGCGAGCGCGCCUUUGCCGCCGGCCGAGGCGUCGAUCCUGCUGAGCUCGCCAAGCGAGAGGAGAAGCGGAACAUUGCCGAUAUCGAGCGCGUACUGAAUGACUUCGCUGCCAGGACGUCCCAUGUCUGUGGCUCUGCUUCGACUUCGGCCCAUGUAGAUAAGAAGGGUGGAACUUCAGGGAACGGGCCAAAAACAGACGAGGGUAAUAUCUUGAAGGUUUCAUGGGAAGAGGGUAUAGAUUACUACUCGGCAGCAAUGUUGGACGAGAUUUUUAAGCAAUCCGGCACGGUUGAAGACAUUGUGAUCAUGACUAAGAAAUCAAGGAGCAAGGGUUCAACACUUGUUGUCAUGGCUUCCAAAUUGGCAACAAAAACGGCACUGGAAAACCAUUCAGUCUACAAUGUUUUCCUGGUCCCAUUAAGUGUUUCUCUUGUUGAAGAAUCGGACGUGUUGCCAGCAGAGUCAACUCAAGCACCUGAACCGAGAAGAUGCAACGUUGUUGGAACUGGAUCUAUAGAUUUGGAAGAAAGGCUGCUCCGAAAUCUUGAAGAGGUACUUAAAUGA
rnacentral:rRNA from 1 species